rnacentral:rRNA from 1 species
GACGAACGCUGGCGGCGUGCUUAACACAUGCAAGUCGAACGGAAAGGCCCUGCUUUUGUGGGGUGCUCGAGUGGCGAACGGGUGAGUAACACGUGAGUAACCUGCCCUUGACUUUGGGAUAACUUCAGGAAACUGGGGCUAAUACCGGAUAGGAGCUCCUGCUGCAUGGUGGGGGUUGGAAAGUUUCGGCGGUUGGGGAUGGACUCGCGGCUUAUCAGCUUGUUGGUGGGGUAGUGGCUUACCAAGGCUUUGACGGGUAGCCGGCCUGAGAGGGUGACCGGCCACAUUGGGACUGAGAUACGGCCCAGACUCCUACGGGAGGCAGCAGUGGGGAAUAUUGCACAAUGGGCGGAAGCCUGAUGCAGCAACGCCGCGUGCGGGAUGACGGCCUUCGGGUUGUAAACCGCUUUCGCCUGUGACGAAGCGUGAGUGACGGUAAUGGGUAAAGAAGCACCGGCUAACUACGUGCCAGCAGCCGCGGUGAUACGUAGGGUGCGAGCGUUGUCCGGAUUUAUUGGGCGUAAAGGGCUCGUAGGUGGUUGAUCGCGUCGGAAGUGUAAUCUUGGGGCUUAACCCUGAGCGUGCUUUCGAUACGGGUUGACUUGAGGAAGGUAGGGGAGAAUGGAAUUCUUGGUGGAGCGGUGGAAUGCGCAGAUAUCAGGAGGAACACCAGUGGCGAAGGCGGUUCUCUGGGCCUUUCCUGACGCUGAGGAGCGAAAGCGUGGGGAGCGAACAGGCUUAGAUACCCUGGUAGUCCACGCUGUAAACGGUGGGUACUAGGUGUGGGGUCCAUUCCACGGGUUCCGUGCCGUAGCUAACGCUUUAAGUACCCCGCCUGGGGAGUACGGCCGCAAGGCUAAAACUCAAAGGAAUUGACGGGGCCCCGCACAAGCGGCGGAGCAUGCGGAUUAAUUCGAUGCAACGCGUAGAACCUUACCUGGGUUUGACAUGGAUCGGGAGUGCUCAGAGAUGGGUGUGCCUCUUUUGGGGUCGGUUCACAGGUGGUGCAUGGCUGUCGUCAGCUCGUGUCGUGAGAUGUUGGGUUAAGUCCCGCAACGAGCGCAACCCUUGUUCACUGUUGCCAGCACGUUAUGGUGGGGACUCAGUGGAGACCGCCGGGGUCAACUCGGAGGAAGGUGGGGAUGACGUCAAGUCAUCAUGCCCCUUAUGUCCAGGGCUUCACGCAUGCUACAAUGGCUGGUACAGAGAGUGGCGAGCCUGUGAGGGUGAGCGAAUCUCGGAAAGCCGGUCUCAGUUCGGAUUGGGGUCUGCAACUCGACCUCAUGAAGUCGGAGUCGCUAGUAAUCGCAGAUCAGCAACGCUGCGGUGAAUACGUUCCCGGGGAU